GGUCUGAUUUAAGAUCAAGAUUCAUUUUUAAUAUAGCCAAAAACCAAUCACAAUCAGAAUAAUCCCUUUUCAAAAAAAAAAAAAUUACAAGAAUACACAGAUAAGAAAUUAUCCAUCCUGAAAAAUAGAUAUUCAAAGUUAAAUAAAUCUUACUGUUCUCCUUAAGAGUUGCAAGAAGAACCCUAACCUAAAUCUUAGAACGCACGCAAGGAGUAUGAUUUUGCAAAAGCACGCGUUGGGCCGAUUUAAAAUAAAUGGGCCUCUUAACCAAAUUAAAAUCAGUAAACCGGAACCUAUUUAUGAUUUUGCUCUUAAUCCGGUUUACGAGUCAGACGGAGAGUGUAUCUGCGAUGUCGUUAAACCCUAGCAACGGCGGAAUCGACGAAGCGAAGAUGAAGAAGAAGGCGAAGGUGGUGGUCAUAAUGGGCCCCACGGGAUCAGGGAAAUCGAAGCUAGCCGUAGACUUGGCGUCUCACUUCCCGGUGGAGAUAAUAAACGCCGACGCAAUGCAGAUCUACAGUGGCCUCGACGUUCUCACCAACAAAGUCACCGUCAACGAGCAGAAAGGAGUGACUCAUCAUCUACUUGGGACGGUGAGCCCAGAUUUGGAGUUCACUGCUAAGGACUUUCGAGAUUCUACCAUUCCUCUUAUUGAGGAGAUCCUUUCUCGAAAUCACGUUCCUGUUCUUGUUGGAGGAACUAAUUAUUAUAUACAGGCUCUUGUGAGUAAGUUUCUCCUCGAGGAUUCAACAGAAGAUGUGGAUGAGUGCUGUUCAAAUGUUGCUCCAGGCUUGGAUGUGGAGUCUAUCUCUGGGAGAGAUGAUUUGAGCCAUGGUUAUGACCUUCUUAAAGAGCUGGAUCCUGUGGCAGCAAACAGAGUUCACCCUAAUAAUCACAGAAAAAUUAAUCAAUACCUGAGCUUGCAUGCUAGCAGAGGAGUUCUUCCAAGCAAGCUAUAUCAGGAAAACGCUGCAGAGAACUGGGGAUGCAUCGAUGCCUCCUCUCGGUUUGAUUACUGUUUGAUAUGUAUGGAUGCUGAAACCACGGUGCUGGACGAAUACGUUGGACAAAGAGUAGAUUCCAUGGUAGAUGCCGGACUACUUGACGAAGUCUAUGACAUCUACAAACCAGGAGCUGACUACACCAGAGGCCUAAGGCAGUCCAUAGGUGUCAGAGAGUUUGAAAACUUCCUCAAAACGUAUCUCCCAGACACAAAUAGCUCCGCUAAUGAUAAGGCCUUGAAGGAGAAUCUGAGGAAGAUUCUUGAUUCUCCAAAAGAUGAUAAGUUGAGGGUUAUGCUGGAGGAAGCAAUUGAUAGUGUCAAGUUAAAUACCAGAAGGCUCCUACGUCGUCAAAAAAGGAGAAUCAAUCGGCUAGAAACGGUCUUUGGGUGGAAUAUCCAUCACGUUGAUGCAACAGAGUGCUUACUAGGUAAGUAUACACACUGUGUCUCAUCAAUUCUUCAACUAAGGCAAACAAACUGUAACACCCGUCACCUCCUAUCUGGAGAACAGCGUGCCACCAACAAUAUCUCAUAGCAUAAUAACCCAUAUACACGACUCCACUCACCCUAAGCCCAAAUAAAAAUCCGAAAUAAAGCCCAGUAGCACCAAUCCAUCCAAAUAUCAUAUACUCGUCAGUCUCACCUGCAUGGGGGCAAAUGAGGGGUGAGUAACAGGUGAGUUACCCAGUGAGGUAUGGGGAUACUAAACCCGAAGUCCAUGGACCCGGACAGAGCACUCCGAAUAAAUAUAAUUUAAUCCUAACACGUUGCAAACACGGUACCUAAAGUACCCAAAGAUCAAACAAUGGUCCUAGCGAGGUGCACACUCGCUGCCCACUAACAGGCCAAAAACACCACCGAAUAUGUGCUCGGUAACACACGCCCGUAGACGAUUUAUCGACCUCUGAAGCCUUGGCACAACAGGUCGACUAAGCUGUGCCGCAGCAUACACCACACCCAAUGUACUGGUCUCCAGCCGACACACAGAAUUACGUCUCCAUGGUCAGCUAACACCCAAAUCACCUCAAUAUACUAUAUACAUAUAUAUUAUCAAUUAUCAAUGAACAAGCAGUGUUGAACCAUCUAACAAUCCUAGUUCCGGUUUAAGCAAAGAACCUAAAAACUAAACAAGCAAUGACAGACUCGAUUUCACACAGACGGAAACACAUUAGAAAUAAAUUAUACUUAUUCGAGGUCCUAAACCGUGUAAGAGAAACUCGAGAAAAGACCCUCACCUUAGCCAAGAUCACAAAAUGCUCGGGAACACUAGGCUUUAAAAGGAAUUACUUGUCUUACAAGUCAUACCUACACCUCAUGGUUGAUUCCUACGCAUAGCCAAUUAGGAAUUAUAAUACUUAGGUUAAUUGCACCACAAGUAAUAAAUAUGAUAGCACUUAAUUACCAAACACGUGAUGAUACGGUUGAGAAACUUAACUAACACGUGCUUGGAUCAUGAGAUCAUGGUAAACAUGGCACGGCUUGGAUCACGGUAAUGGGUCUCGGACUCCGGCGGUGUAAACUACAUCUCUGGUGACACGCCGCAGCUCUCCGUAACAUGGCUUGCUCUUCCUAUGGCUCGUGGUUAACGAUGGAGGUGGCCGAUGGUAAUGAGAUGCAUCGGCUGGAAUCGUCUUACUCUUGGCUCAUGGUAACAACACAGAGACAACGGCUGGUGAUAGAGAGAUGGGCUCCAGCAGUGGACAUAGCUUCCCGAUGAACAACACAUAGUGAUGGCGCUACAAGAGAUGGCAAGUCUGAAGAGUCAUGGGAUGUGCAAGUGGUUAAACCGGCUACACAGAUCCUCCAGUCUUUUCUGAAAACAGAAACUGAAUUGAGUCAUGAUUCAACCUUGAGAAAGUCAAUGGAAAGAGAUCUAUGGAGUCAAUACGUUUGUGAGGUUUGUGGAAACAAGGUACUAAGAGGAAGACACGAGUGGGAUCAUCACACACAAGGCCGUGUACAUCGUAAGAGAACCGCACGAUUUAAAAAAGCUCAAAAUUUCGAAAACAGGGAGAAGCAAGAAGAAGAAGAAGUGGGGAUUUGCAGAGAGACAUCGUGAAAACUGAAAAAGGUUCAUUUAUGUUCAUAUUGGACCCAUUUAAAAGAAAAAGCCCAUCAAGGCAUUAUUACAAUUAAAGAUAAUAUUUUGGUAUUUGCAAAAUUGUAUUCAUCUAUGGCAUUUCAAUUUUUUUUAGUCGUAAAA